ensembl:lncRNA
CUGACGCCUUUAAAGGACCACCUCAUUGCAAAGAUGGCCUUGGAUGCAACUUACAUCAGAGUAAUGACCGCUGGAGGCCAGGAAUUGGAGACUCAGCUUCGCGCCGUUGAUACACCCGUAGCCAGCCAGGCCCCUGUAGCUGGUGCAGCUGAAGAUAACGCAGGCCCCGCUAGCUGUUCCCCGGCAGACCCCAAGCAGCUGGGGAAAGAAGGCGGAUGGGUGACGGUGAGGAGGAAGCAUAGUCUUAAACAGAAGCCCCAGCAUGUCUUUAUCCUGUGUUCCUUCUCUCACCCCAACCGGU